UUUAGGCACAGUUGUAUCUGCCUCAAAAACCAAAGAGAAGAGAUUACACGAUUAUGCUGAUGUACGUGCACUAUCAGCUGCUAUCUGAUCUCAUGUGCUGCUAAUCUUCUGAACUCAGUCUGAGUGUGAAGAGCCUUUGAAUGACCUGAGAGGUGUGACAAUGGGGAAACACUCACACCUGAGCAUCAUUUCUCAGAGGACUUGUCCUCCCUGUGAAAUUACAUCAGGUUGCUCACAGCUGAGAUUCUCCUGCAUUGGCCUGGCUGGAAUAAAAGCAGCAGCAUGUAGCAACUCUAUGUUUCAUCCUGAGAUGGGUUGAGCUGUUUUGUGAGCUCUACUCCUUUUGGGAUGUGUGAUAAGGAUCACAAGGAAAGCCUGCAAUACAAUGAAGGAUCUGUAUUGAAAUCACUAUGCAAUCAAUGCAUGUGCAGCAAGACUGUGAGACAACUGGGUCCUUCUGCUGUCAUCAUCGCAGCUCUCCUGCUCACACUGCACCUGGUUUCUUUGUGCUGUCUGUGGUGGGUCUCCUGCUCUGCACACACGCGUGCCCUGAGGCCUGGACUGAGCAUCCUGAUCCUACCUUGUGCUGCCCCAUGUGCAGCUGGCAGCAGCAGCCCAACCCUGAGAGCUGUGUCAUGUAUGCAACGUGUCCUCCUGCUGACGUGAGGGCUCUAUGCAACACCUGGUAUCUGCCUGCAGUGAAACAAACCAUUCAGCAAAGCUCGAGAGCACAGUUUGUGCCAACAACGGUCUGUGCUGAGCAGCUCCUUCCUGCCCAGAGGUGUCCACUGGGUUCCACUCAGGAGGCUGCCAGUGCUCUGGAAAGCCAAAAAACCAUUUGGGCUGCUGCUUAAAAACCAUCUCUGUGGUAAGCUCCUUUAUGCUGUAGCAAAGCGCCCAACUGACGAGAGGAAACAGAACUGCUCAUCUUUUGGUUUGACACAAAUAAUCCAGGAUGCUGGAGAUGGGAAAAGCAGCCACACCUGCUGGUUGUCACCUGGGCAUGGUUCCUGGCAAAGAGCAGCAAGCUGGGGCUGAGGGUCAGGCUUCAGCCUCUUCCAGACAAGCCAGAAGUAGAAACUAUCUGAAGAAUCCCACAGACUCACACCCAAUGUUCAAGGGCAGCGUUUCUCCCAGCACACACAACCCUGCCCAGGAGGCUAGCAGGGUUAUAUUAUCUACAGUUUGAAUCUGGACAUGAGGAGACAGGUGCUGCAGCAAACAGGCAGGCACAUGAGCAGCUGCAGUCAAAGCAAGAGCAAGCACUCCAGGUCUGCACACUCAGCACAUUGCAUCCCGUCCCAGCAGAGCUGGAGUUGGGAAGUGAGACAGGGAGCAGCUGGGGAUGCGUCGCAGGGCUGCUGCCAAAUGGAGAGCACAGCAAGGCGAGUGCGUGGGCAGUGGGUUCAGUGAGACUAAAGGACGUGUGGCAGGGCAGCA